UAGGUUGAACAGCCUAGGUAUAUGACU
rnacentral:piRNA from 1 species